AUAAAGCUUAUAGGAAGCUUACAUAGCAAAUAUUAUAGAAUAACUUACUUUUAUCUCCUUUUGCUUACUUCUACCUAUUUAUACAUGUAAUUACUGGCUUACAUGCAUAUAUCUGUAAUAUCUCUAUUGUGAAAUUCCAAAGCCUUGCUUAUUAGGUGGAUUAGAACAAUAAAGCCUUUAUUAAUUUAUUUUAAAAUGGAUUAAUAUGUAAUGUCAAAAAUUUAUUAGAAUAAUUUAUUAUUCAAGUUAUUACAGUAACAAUUGAAUCUUCAAAAGGUGCUAAGAACAAAAUUUGAUUGAAGAAGAAAAAAUCAAGUCAUGACAAUUACUCGUAAGUUCAUAGGAACUUAUUUAUUAAGACUAAAAUCUACGCAAAUUGAUACAAUGUCUUUUAUAUCUCUCAUUGAGCAAGAAAAUACUUAAUAUCAUUAAGAAGGAUUGAACUUAUUAAAAUCAAUGCUUUAUAUAUUUUUCAAUCUAGCUUAUUGGUUGUUUGAUA
rnacentral:lncRNA from 1 species